UGAGCCAUCAGUGAUGUUUCUAUAUCAAAGAGGUUUCUUCUAUAUGUAUAUUCUUCUGUGUGUGGUGUAUUGUCACGUUAUGUUCAUGAAGUAGAUUUUAAACAGUAGUACUUUCCAUUUACUUGGACAUUAGCUAAAUAAAUUGUAUUUCAUAUAGACAAACCGCAUGACUGAAAUAAAUAUUUCUUUUGAACAUUUUGACGCUGAAGUGAGCGUUACUAUGUAAAUGAGAAUGCAAUACUAAUUGUCUAUUUUUUUUUUUGUGUACAGGAAUCAGAACAACUGGAUGAAAGAUGGCGGUUCGUUCAGUCUCAUAUCAUGUAAAUGUUCCUGAUCUGCCAAACGUCAAAGAAAGAUGAGGAAAAGGAUUUUCGCUAUGACGUUUGCCUGAAGAGGAUGCUUCAGUAAAGUUUCAAGGAACAGAAGACUGCUCUAACCAAUUCUGGACAGUCAAG
rnacentral:lncRNA from 1 species